UGAGGAAUAAUUGGUCAAUGGGCGGGAGCCUGAACCAGCCAAGCCGCGUGAAGGAAGAAGGCGCCAGGCGUCGUAAACUUCUUUUGUCGGGGAACAAAGGGCGCCACGCGUGGCGUUGUGAGUGUACCCGAAGAAAAAGCAUCGGCUAACUCCGUGCC
rnacentral:rRNA from 1 species